rnacentral:rRNA from 1 species
UGGGGAAUCUUGCACAAUGGGGGCAACCCUGAUGCAGCGACGCCGCGUGAGCGAUGAAGCCCUUCGGGGCGUAAAGCUCUUUCGACCGGAACGAUAAUGACGGUACCGGGAGAAGAAGCUGCGGCUAACUACGUGCCAGCAGCCGCGGUAAUACGUAGGCAGCAAGCGUUGUUCGGAGUUACUGGGCGUAAAGAGUGCGUAGGCGGUUUUCUAAGUUCGGUGUGAAAUCUCCCGGCUUAACUGGGAGGGUGCGCCGAAGACUGGGAAGAUGGAGUGUGGGAAAGGCAGGCGGAAUUCCUGGUGUAGUGGUGAAAUGCGUAGAUAUCAGGAGGAACACCGGCGGUGUAGACGGCUUGCUAGACCAUAACUGACGCUGAGGCACGAAAGCGUGGGUAGCAAACA